CUUCUCAGGUUGCUAUGGAGCUCUAAAAGAUUCCUUUACACUCCACUGUCCUUCCCAUGCCCCAGACCCAAGCUUCCACUUUGUCAGGUAUAAUAUCUCCAGGCUCCCUGACCCAGCUAAGGACCAGAGGCAGCGUCCACCUGAUUAAGUCAAUCUGAAAUAUUGUUUAUUGUGAAGAAGGGGGACAGCUUCAUUCAGUGAAAAGUUUACACAGAGGAAGUCCAAUUAGAAGCCACAAGGGCCCUGUCAAUACUGAGAGAUUGGCCACAUACCCAGGAUAUCAAGAUUUCUGUUUGUAUACUUCCCUACACUGUCAGAGAAACUAGACACAGAGGAGAAAGUGACUUGUCCACUCACACAAGCAAGACAGUGUCAGAUGCCAGAUUUCACUCCAAUUCAUCUGACUGAGG